AUUGAACGCUGGCGGCAGGCCUAACACAUGCAAGUCGAACGAGUGGCGGACUGGUGAGUAAUGUCUGGGAACCUGCCUGAUGUAGGGGGCUAACUGCUGUAAACGGUAGCUAAUACCGCUUACCAUCGUAUGUGCCCAGAGGGGAUUAGCUAGUGGGUGGGGAAAAGGCUCACCAAGGCGACGAUGCCUAGCUGGUCUGAGAGGCUGACCGGCAACACUGGGACUGAGACACGGUCCAGACUCCUACGGGAGGCAGCAGUGGGGAAUAUUGGACAAUGGGCGAAAGCCUGAUGGAGCAAUGCCGCGUGUAUGAAGAAGGCCUUCGGGUUGUAAAGCUCUUUUAGCGGGGAGGCGGUAUCUGAAGAAGAAGCACCGGCUAACUCCGUGCCAGCAGCCGCGGUAAUUC
rnacentral:rRNA from 1 species